UACGAAGGGAGCUAGCGUUGUUCGGAUUUACUGGGCGUAAAGCGCACGUAGGCGGAUCGAUCAGUCAGGGGUGAAAUCCCAGAGCUCAACUCUGGAACUGCCUUUGAUACUGUCGAUCUGGAGUAUGGAAGAGGUGAGUGGAAUUCCGAGUGUAGAAGUGAAAUUCGUAGAUAUUCGGAGGAACACCAGUGGCGAAGGCGGCUCACUGGUCCAUUACUGACGCUGAGGUGCGAAAGCGUGGGGAGCAAACAGG
rnacentral:rRNA from 1 species